rnacentral:rRNA from 1 species
AUGCCGCGGAAGGAGAUAUAUGCGGGCAACAUCGAACAAGCGGUGCGAAGGAUAAUCCCUUCUUUGGAGGAUAUGAGCAAUACUGCACACAAGGCCAUCUAUUUUGAUGCAUGGCAUGGGCUUGCUGCUUCUGCGGUGCUUAGAGCCAUAGCUGAAGACCCUCCGCCAUCUUUGCUAAAGAAAUUCGACAAGAUCAUCCACGUUGAUUGCUCCAGUUGGAAAAGCCAAAGAGCACUCCAGAAGACAAUCGCACAAGAACUGAAGCUUCCUCAUUGGGUAAUGGAUAUUUUUGAUAGGCAAGAUGAGGAAGAUGAUUUCAGAGGAGUAGAUGAAGGCUCAAGAGCUGAAAUAGGAUUCGUUGGGAGAGAGAUCUUUCAAGUCCUUAUGGGCCAUAGAUGUUUAGUGGUCUUUCAUAAUGGAAGCAAUGAUAUGAUUAAUUUAAGUGGUUUUGGCAUUCCUCAAGGAGAAUUUUUUGAAACCAAAGUAUUGUGGACAUUUCGAGGAAGGCUUCGGCUCAACCCACGAAUUAGUGAGAAGGUGGAUAGUUCACAUCUUUUUCUUUAUGAUCACUCGAUGGGUCACGGUUGGAAUUAUUUGCUGCAAAAUGAGGCUAGAGAAAUUGCUAGGCACAUAAAUAAGCUUCCUGAAGUACUUGAAGAGUGUUGCCUGUAUCUACUGGUAUUAAAUUCUCAAGGAGGUAAUGUCAUGGACUACGACUGGGCCACCCAUGCUUCGAGCUAUUGGGUAUGUGAUGGGAUUAUAAAGGGAGGUCAGUCGGACGAAGCAUGGGAGGUUGCGGCUGCUCUGCAUCAAUACAUACAUAUAGAGGAUUAUUCAUCUAAUGAAAUUCCCUCUUUUGGUCAUAAACUGAAGACUCCUUGGAAACCGCGGAUAUUGGUCAAGGACAACUUUGUUGUGCAUCAAAAUUCAACUUCUUUUUUUAUUUCUGCUGUUGCAAGUGAUUCCGAUCCUCCAUUAAGGCCCUUACCUAAUGGCUUGUUUCAUUUGUCGGACAAACUUUGUGUUCUCAAGUUAUGCCGAUGCAGCUUCAGUUUUUCUUUACCUCCUUUCGGUGGUUGCCGCAGCUUAAGGUUCCUCGGAUUAGAUAGCUGCAAGAAUCAACAAGUAUUAGUAGAAGGGAAGCAAGAUAGACCACCAAUGGAAUUUUUUCAGAGCUUAUGGGUUCUAAGCAUAUGUCACACUGAUUGGGAGUUGGAUUUGUCAGCACACAUCACAGAGCAUAUGCAUGUAAACAUUAGGGAGGUGCAUAUAAAGAAAGGAAGGGUUUGGUCCCGCGGUUUUCCAUGGAGAAAAUUGCAGAACCUUCGUAAGCUUCGACUGAUUGAGCCUACAUCACCUUGGCAUACAGGUGAAAUGGAUGAAUUUACAGGUAUGGUGAACAUGGAAUUCCUUGACCUAUCAAGCAAUAGCACAAUACAAGGUUUGCCAAGUCUCUCAAAAGCAGCUAGCCUUAAGACUCUGGUACUAGAUGGUUGCAUUGGUUUGGAGCAGGUUGAAAGUCUCCCUCCAUCACUUGAAUCAUUCAGCUUAGAUGCAGGACCAAGAAAUGAUGAUUACAAGGCAGCCAAAAUAAGCCGCAUCUCAAUUGCUGGAGUACAGUAG